rnacentral:rRNA from 1 species
AUGGCGACGUCGUGGGCGGACCUCCCACCGGAGCUCCUAGACCUUGUUGUCGCCGGUCUCCCUAACCCCGCCGACCGCGCCCGUUCCCGCGCCGUGUGCCGUUCAUGGCACUCCGCCGUGCGACGCCAUGGACCCCAGGCAGCCCAGCUACCAUGGAUGGUCUUCACUGAUGGUGAAGUCGUCACACCCACCAACGGUCCCUCGGGACACCCCACCUUCAUCCCCGAGAAUUCACAUCUCUCCGGCUCCGCCGACGAGUGGCUACUCUUCGGCGUCUACCACCGGACCCCCGAACUCAUCGACAACUAUGUUCUACGCAAUAUAUUCUCCGGAGAGCGUGUUUCUUUGACCGAGUUGGACGCAGCCCUCCACCCCGCUUACCGCGUCAGCAAGUUCCGGAUGCAAUCCACCGCCCAUGACUUCAUGGCCGUCGUCACCACCAACAAGAACCAUCCGCUCAUCGUGAUCCUGCCAGGAAAGGGUGUGUGGGUGCCCGAACCACGGGCAGUUCCAUAUGUUUAUAUCAUUGACAUUGCCUUCCAUGAAAAGAAGCUCUAUGGCAUUAGCAAGGCGGAGGACCUUAUCCCUUUUGACCUAGGGUUGGAUGAGGAUGGAAGGCCCAUGGUCACCAUUGCAAGGCAUGUAAUCCGACGGCCAAUUGAUUACGAUGGUUGGGAUGAUGAUUAUAGGCUAGCAACGAUGAAGAUGAUGAUGGCGAUGAAGAUGAGGACGACGUCGAAGAUGACAAUGAGGACGACGACGACAACGAAGAUGAUGUUGAUGAUCACGAUGACCAAGAUGAGGAAGUGA